UACGUAGGGGGCGAGCGUUGUCCGGAAUCAUUGGGCGUAAAGCGCGUGUAGGCGGCUCGGUAAGUCUGCUGUGAAAGUCCAGGGCUCAACCCUGGAAUGCCGGUGGAUACUGUCGAGCUUGAGUCCGGAAGAGGCGAGUGGAAUUCCUGGUGUAGCGGUGAAAUGCGCAGAUAUCAGGAGGAACACCAAUGGCGAAGGCAGCGCGCUGGGACGUGACUGACGCUGAGACGCGAAAGCGUGGGGAGCAAACAGG
rnacentral:rRNA from 1 species